UAAUGCCAUGUCCGAUCGGAAAGUCGUCUGCUUUCUUCUACAAAUCUAAACUUAAUUGUUACAAUUUUACGAUGUCAGAUGUCAAAAAUCAAGAAACAACAUGCUUCUUUUGGCACGAAGGAAUAGGUAAUCGAGGUGCCAUAGAAAUUGGAUCGUGCAUAUACAACUUUUUAAGAGAUCUAGCUGAGAAAAGCCCAGGUUGCGAUGUCAUAUUCUAUUCAGAUAACUGCUGCGGACAGCAAAAGAAUAAGUUCAUAUUUUGUAUGUACUACUAUGCUGUUAACAAGUUACAGAUAAAUUCCGUGACCCAUAAAUUUUUAAUAAAG